GACGAACGCUGGCGGCGUGCUUAACACAUGCAAGUCGAACGGUAAGGCCCUUCGGGGUACACGAGUGGCGAACGGGUGAGUAACACGUGGGUGAUCUGCCCUGCACUUCGGGAUAAGUCUGGGAAACUGGGUCUAAUACCGGAUAGGACUCCUGGUUUCAUGGUUGGGGGUGGAAAGCUUUUGCGGUGUGGGAGGGGCCGGCGGCCUAUCAGCUUGUUGGUGGGGUAAUGGCCUACCAAGGCGACGACGGGUAGCCGGCCUGAGAGGGUGAGCAGGCGCACGGGGACUGAGAUACGGCACAGACUGCUACAGGAGGAAGAAGUGGGGAAAGUUGCACAAUGGGCGCAGGACUGAUACAGCGACGCCGCGUGAGGGAUGACGGGCUUCGGGUUGUAAACCUCUUUCAGCUCAGACGAAGCGCAAGUGACGGUAGUAGCAGAAGAAGGACCGGCCAACUACGUGCCAGCAGCCGCCGUAA
rnacentral:rRNA from 1 species